GCGGGAGUAAGUGGAGCUGGUCCAAUGUCACAUUUAUUAACUCUUGCUUUGAGUUUUGUUUUACCUUUUUCCAUUGUCAUUGUGAAAUUUAGUCUGGAUUUCAGCCACACAGGCUGAUGUCCAGUGGAUAUUCAUGUCAAUUUAGAUGCCGAAUGCCCAAAAUCUAGAUUGUGAUAAAUACUUUGAUCAAUGUCUCCAUUUUAAAAUCUGAAAAUCCCAGAUCGUACUGGAUUAUUUUUACCAAUCCAGACCAGAGACAUUUAAAAUUUAGCAUUAACACUUGGUACCCAAAUGGUUUGGUGAACAAGAUGCAUAGACAUCCUGGGCAAGGUUACCCUACCAAGACCUAAAUCCUAGGUUUUGUCCCUCUUCUUUUGUCAGUUUGUGGGUGUUCUGAUUCUAUUUUGUGCAAUCCUUUCCCCC